rnacentral:rRNA from 1 species
AUGGCACCCACGGCGACGGCGACGGCGGCGGAGCAGAGCCAGCAGCACACCAAGAAGGCGGUCGGUCUGGCGGCGCUCGACGCCUCCGGCCACCUCUCCCCGCUCGCCAUCACCCGAAGGAGCACCGGAGACGACGAUGUCGUGAUAAAGAUUCUGUAUUGCGGGAUCUGCCACUCUGACCUGCACAGCAUCAAGAACGACUGGAAGAACGCCAAGUACCCCAUGAUCCCUGGGCACGAGAUCGCCGGCGAGGUCACCGAGGCCGGCAAGAAUGUGACCAAGUUCAAGGCCGGCGACCGCGUCGGCGUCGGGUGCAUGGUGAACUCAUGCCAGUCCUGCGAGAGCUGCGACAAGGGCUUCGAGAACCACUGCCCGGGCAUGAUCUUCACCUACAACUCGGUCGACCGUGACGGCACCCUCACCUACGGCGGCUACUCCAGUAUGGUGGUGGUGCACGAGCGCUUCGUGGUCCGGUUCCCUGACGCCAUGCCGCUGGACAAGGGCGCGCCCCUGCUGUGCGCCGGCAUCACCGUGUACAGCCCCAUGAAGUAUCACGGGCUGAACGUUCCCGGGAUGCACCUCGGGGUGCUGGGACUGGGCGGGCUGGGCCACGUCGCCGUCAAGUUCGGCAAGGCCUUCGGGAUGAAGGUGACGGUGAUCAGCUCGUCGCCGGGGAAGAAGCAGGAGGCCCUCGAAAGGCUAGGCGCUGACGCGUUUGUUGUCAGCAAGGACGCCGACGAGAUGAAGGCUGCGAUGAGCACCAUGGAUGGCAUCAUAAACACGGUGUCUGCAAACAUCCCGAUGGCCCCUCUCUUCGGCCUACUGAAGCCCAACGGCAAGAUGAUCAUGGUCGGCCUCCCAGAGAAGCCUAUCGAGGUCCCUCCAUUUGCUCUGGUUGCCAGUAAGUUCACCUCUCCGAUCUCGCUCGCAACUGGAAGAAAUCAUGCGAUCGCAGGCAUUUUGCGCGUAACUGAUACCCAUAUUGUGCGCGUGGCUGAAUGUACAGGGAACAAGACCCUGGCCGGGAGCUGCAUCGGCGGCAUGAGGGACACCCAGGAGAUGCUAGACCUCGCGGCCAAGCACGGCGUGACGGCAGACAUCGAGGUGAUCGGCGCGGAGUACGUGAACACGGCCAUGGAGCGCCUUGCCAAGGCCGACGUCAGGUAUCGAUUCGUCAUCGACAUCGCCAACACCCUCGACAAGGCGGCCGCCGCCCCCGCUACAACCGAGUGA